rnacentral:rRNA from 1 species
UACAGAGGUCUCAAGCGUUGUUCGGAUUCAUUGGGGCGUAAAGGGAGCGUAGGUGGCGUCGUAAGUCAGGGUGUGAAAUCUCGGGGCUCAACCCCGAAACUGCACCCGAUACUGCGAUGCUAGAGUACUGGAGAGGAGAUUGGAAUUUACGGUGUAGCAGUGAAAUGCGUAGAUAUCGUAAGGAAGACCAGUGGCGAAGGCGAAUCUCUGGACA